rnacentral:rRNA from 1 species
UACGUAGGGUGCAAGCGUUGUCCGGAAUCAUUGGGCGUAAAGAGCGUGUAGGCGGCUCGAUUAGUCCGCUGUAAAAGUCCAGGGCUCAACCCUGGGAUGCCGGUGGAAACUGUCGGGCUAGAGUCCGGGAGAGGCGAGUGGAAUUCCGUGGUGUAGCGGUGAAAUGCGCAGAUAUCAGGAGGAACACCGGUGGCGAAGGCGGGUCUCUGGACCGGUACUGACGCUGAUGCGCGAAAGCGUGGGGAGCAAACGGG